CUCAGCCCCGCGCUGAUCAUAGGCCAGGUGGCGCUGUGGCGCGCGGCGGGGCUGUGUGCGCUGAGGCUGCUGAGUGGCGGGCCGAAUCAGGAUGUUGACCGUGGCCACAUCCACGUCCCAGAGCUUCUUCACAGUCUGUUUGAUCUGGUGCUUGUUGGCUUUAACAUCGACAGUGAAUACAAGCGUGCUGUUGUCUUCUAUCUUCUUCACGGCUGACUCAGUGGUCAGUGGAAACUUGAUGAUAGCAUGGUGGUCAAGCUUGUUUCUCCGGGGGGUGCUCAUCCCAGGAUAUCUGGACUGGAGUCGCAGUGUCUUGGGACGCUGGAAGAUAUUAUUUCCCACUGAUGCUUUUCUGAAAGCUCCUGCAAUCAGCUACAGGUCAGAAUGCUUGUCUCCAACACAGGACUCCCUCUGAGAGUCACCUGUCUGCUCACCGAGAGAAAUGCGUAUCUGAGUGCCGCAUCGGGAGAGGGUAACCAGCAACUCAAAAGAAUGAAACCAUUUGUCUCUUACCUACCUAUGACCUGGAAGCUCCCUGUCUGGCCUUCUCUUCAAGUUGUCUCACCUUUCUGGAGUGAACCAAGGUACAUCUUUCACACAUUGAUUGAUGUCUCAUGUCUCCCUAAAGUGUGUAAAACCAAGCUGGGCCCCGACCACCUUGGGCCCGUGUUGUCGGGACCUCCUGAGGAGGCAUCAUGGGCGCAUCCUCAAACUUGGCAAAAUAAACUUUCUAAAAAAUCUGAGACCUGUCUCAGAUUUUCAGGGUUCACACAUGUAAUGUAGGAUGUCAAUGUUUAUAAAACAGACAUUAUUCUAUCUACUAUUAAAAAUAUGCUGCCAAUUAACCUUUGACUUUCUCAACAAAAUAAAAAAUGUUGAUGAGGUACAAAUAAUAUAUUUAAACUUAAAUAAUGUUGCAAGUUUUAAUAUGCCUACUUUUCAAUUUUUCAAUACUAUUUUUACUAAUUUAACACUGUAAGAAAAAUGAGUAAUGAAAACAUGAAUAAAAGCAUUUACAGGGGGUGCACAUGUUUCCUCCAGCCUCUGCCCAUCUCCAGCUUUCAUCCCAACUGUCCUGACAGUGGCUCUAAGCAUUUCUCCUUUCUCUGUACCAAGAUCUCCCCGCUGAAGCAAACCCAAAUCUUAUCAUGUGUUAUGACACGCUGUGAUGAUGAGCAACCAAAGCCUCGAGGAAGGGAUGCUUUUGUAAAACCAGACUUGCAGGAUAUAACGUGUGAAGUAAAGCCCAUGGCGGAGCUCCCUUUAGCACCCGGAGAGCAGACAGGAAGCUUUAGCCUCACCUUCCUCACUGGCCCGCAGCCACGUCCCCCCAGGUCAGUCUUGAGGACAACGAAACUCUGGUCUUCACUGUGGACACACUACCAGGUGCUCCAAGCCAUGGCCUCUUCUCGGGUGGUCCUGAGGAGAACAAAGCUCUGGUUCUAAUCCUAACCACAAUCCUGUACCAGGUGCUCCAAAGCCAUGGCCUCUUCUCGGGUGGGUCCUGAGGAGAACAAAGCUCUGGUUCUAAUCCUAACCGCAAUCCUGUCUCUAGACUUGGACCCUGACCCUAACCCCGAUCCCUACCCUGGUCCCUAAUUCUGACCCUGACUUUGACCUUGACUCUGAUCUUGACCCUGACCAUGACCCCACCUCUAACCAUACUUCCGGCCCUGUAUGUCUGACCCAGACCCUAAUCCUAACGCUAACCCUACUAUUAUCUUUACAAUCUAUCUCUACUCUUACCCCCUACUGCUAAAUAGCUGUACCCAAAAGCCCUUUUUAAAUUAUUUAACUUCUUUUCCUUGAAUUCUCUAAGGACAUCCUAAAGGAGAUGUCAUUAUGUAUUUUGCAGUCCCUCUGAGUGGUAUGGCUUCAGAUAGGAAGUUCUAAUACUUUGCAAGACAUAAAAACUCUGGAGAGUAACAGCACGGGGUUGUUAGGGAUGCAUGUUGGCAUUCACGAUAGUCAUUGGUGCUGUUCUCCAAAUAUUUUCAGUUCAGUUUUUAUGAAUGCAUUCUGACUAUACCAACCCACCUGCUUAAAUUUUUGCAUGACCAUAUAGCUUU